rnacentral:rRNA from 2 species
UACAGAGGGUGCGAGCGUUAAUCGGAUUUACUGGGCGUAAAGGGCGUGUAGGUGGUUAGUUAAGUGAGAUGUGAAAUCCCCGGGCUCAACCUGGGAACUGCAUCUUAUACUGGCUAGCUGGAGUAUAUGAGAGGGUAGUGGAAUUUCCGGUGUAGCGGUGAAAUGCGUAGAUAUCGGAAGGAACACCAGUGGCGAAGGCGGCUACCUGGCAUAAUACUGACACUGAGGCGCGAGAGCGUGGGGAGCAAACAGG